UGGGGAUGAAGGUGGAAGGGAUUCUCUUCUCCUCCCCCACCCCCCAGCGUCACGGGGAUGGUGCAGAGGGCCUAGGCGCUUCCCCGGCCUUACAGUAACCCUAGAAGAAGAAACUAAAACAAACGAUUUCCCCCCCCUUCCUCCCUCAUACAUUUCCAGUUGCUUCCAUAUCAGCAGCAAACGUGAACUCAAGGGUUGAAUGAAUACUUUUAAAACGUAGCAUGGGUACGAAGUGGGCUGUAGCCCACGAAAGCUUAUGCUCAACUACAUUUGUUAGUCUCUAAGGUGCCACAAGCACUCCUGUUCUUUUUCAAGUAUUAGAGGGGUAGCCGUGUUAGUCUGAAUCUGUAAAUAGCAAUAGAGGGUCCUGUGGCACCUUUAAGACUAACAGAAGUAUUGGAGCAUAAGCUUUUGUGGGUGAAUGCCCACUUCGUCCGACGCAAGUUCUUGGAUCCGGUUCUUUUUGUGGAUACAGACUAACACGGCUGCUACUCUGAAACCGAUGGUUACAGUGAUUGUGCUUUUAUUUCUCUGUGGCAGUGAUGGUCCUUCCCUUGAUAGCUCUGGUCAAGUGUAGUAGGUCAAGUGAAAAAUUCUCUAAGUUAUAUAUGUUUUUAUUGGAAGUUGAGAAAGCAGAGCAGUGUUAUCUGGCAGGAGUCAUCAUAAGGAAUUUAACCUUUUCAAACCCCUCUGGGCCCUCUUUUCAAUGCUUUGUCUCCUGGAGCACCAACCACAUACACUGUUAACAUUAAGAAAUUUUAACUUUGUUGGAUGAUACCUCUACAGCCUGUAGAGAAAUGCUUGUCUCCUUCAGUGAGGGUUAUGAUUUUUCACAUUGGGCAAGUUGUUUCUAACUUGAACUUUUGAGCCUGGAUAAUUGACAUAAAAUAUUAUUUGAAGGCCCUUGCCAGCAGCUGCAGAGUAAUGCACUUGUCUGUGCACAGAAAAAAAAAUCACCAAAUUCUUGUGACUUUACACUAUAUAACCAAAGCUAACUUAUGGCAAAUAGGCCCUGAUCUAUACUACAACUUUAGGUUGGUGUACGUUGCCUUUUGUCAACCUGUUUUGUGCAUGUGUCUAUACUCAGAUUUGUCUCUGGCAGACAUAAGCACCUAAUUAUUGCAAUGCAGUAAAACCACCUGCCUGAACAGUGUAGAGAAAUGGGUGAUGAUCUGAGUGUGCACGUAGGUGCUGCAUGAUGUGUAUUGACCCUAACAGUGCUCUAGGAGCUGUCCCAUAAUGCACUGUUUGCUGCAACAGUCACAGCUCUUGUAACAGCUGUAAAUUCCACUGCCCAGAGGUCACAGCUACUGUAAGCCCCACCUCCUUUGAAGUCACCUAUGUAUUUUUGAAAUGCCUUUUCCUGAUUGUCUACCUUGGUGAACAUGUCUAGGAACUCUCCCCUGUUACGUGUAACUAGCCAGCCGACCAGACUGGCUCAACACACCGGACAUGCUCUUGCUUGGAGUAAACAAGAGAUAUUGGGUCUCGUGGGACUAUAGGGAGAAGAGGCUGUGCAAGCACAGCUAUGGACCACCCGUAGAAAUGUGGACAUCUAUGAGCAAAUUGCAUGGGGAAUGCAGGCAAAAGGAUGCAACAGGAAUCAGAAAUAGUGCUGAAGGAAAGCGAAGGAAGUGCAGUUAGCAUGCUACGAGACAAGGGAGGCCAAUAAUCAAUCUAGUGGUGAGCUGCUGAUCUGCUUUUAAAACAAACUGUGUGCCAUAUUUGACAGAGGCCCCACUAGCACUCCGCAAACCACUGUGAAUACCUUGGAGGAGCCUGAGAUGUAGAGCCCCGCCACGAACAGGGAAGAGGAGGAGAGGGGAGAUGUGGGGCAGGGGGGAGGGAGUCCAACCAUACAACAAAUCAAGACCUGUCUGAGACUCCACCAUGGUCUAGUCAGUCCUGGCAGCCAAAUAUGGAUGAGCCCAAUGAAGAGGAAGGGAUCUUUGGAAGAGAUGGAGGUAAAACAAAUAGAGAGAGGUGGUAUCUGCGUUUUGUUCCCCCGCUGGAUUGGACAUGGAGAGGGCCAAUCGGAGCAGUUUGUUUAUGUACAGAAGAAUGUCCCUUGUAUCCUCCUGAGAGAUCUCAAUGAAACUUUCAUGGUGUUACUCCGCAAUCCUCUCCUGAAGAGUUCUAGGGAUGGCUGCCUUAUUUCUUCUUCUGCAGACGAUACUUUCCCACACCUCACCAUGCAGCUGCCAUUGUGGCUUUGAGGGAUGCCCCUUGCACAUCUGCAGAACACCUGAUCCUGAAGAGGAGAAAGAAGAGGAUUAGUUCAGCAAGACCUUGCAAGCUAUUGCUGCUUCAGAUCGUGAACAAAGGUCCUGGAGACCAGCGUGACAGAUGUUAUGGAGAAUGAAAAAGGAGACGGGAAAGGCUAGGAUUCCCAGCAGGAAGGGGAAAGGGAGAUGCACCAAGACAUAAUAGAGCUUCUCAGGCAGCAAACUCAGAUGCUGGUUGACCUACAGGCCCAGAAAUCUGGCUCCCCGCACUUUGCAGUCCUUAGAGAGCUCUGUAGAAGCAGCCCUGACACUCCAAAGCAUAUCAUGUGGCAUCACGGGCCACAUCUUAAUCCCUAUGAUUCCUCACUGUGUGACUGCAAGGAAAAACACUGCUUAACAUACACCAACAUAGGUCAGUAUGUGUAGCACAAGGGAUGACAUUUGUAUAUUGAAAUGGACAGAAAUUUUUGCUGCUUUUCCAAUUCUAAAAGUUCAGUUCACAGUUUGUAUUGCCUGCUGUUUUUUGCACAUUGCUUUUCUGCACUGUUUUUGCCAAAUUUCUUAUUUUUUAAAUAAUUAUGCUUCACAACACAUUUCAGAAUGCAAUGCAAUGCUCAACGCAUAGAGUACUUGUAAAUGUACAGCACCACAAAACUCAGAGGUUCUGGAAAACACCCCCCAGUCAUAUUUAUAAAUGUACAGCAAGCACCAGAUCAUUCAUAGCUUGGGUAAAACAUAAUGUGUGUAAAUAUGCAGAAAGCACUACACAUUUCCCGACAGCACUCAAAGCUUCAGGUCCACAGAACAUUCCAGUACAGAGCACGGCUAUCGCUGACUGUUAAAGUCUUCUUUUAAAACCUCACUUAACUGCCUAGCUCCAUGUUGAACUCUUGUAAUGGCUGAUGCAUGGCUGUUCAAAGUCUGCUCUGUCUCCUACUUCCAUCCUGGUGACAGCUUUUCCCCCAUUGCCUCACACAUAUUAUUUAGGUCACAUGAGGUAGCUAUAACCAUUGAAAUAUUUUUCUCAUUGAGAUCCAGUCUAGUGAGUAAACCCCACCAGUGUCCCUUCACUCUACCAACAGCACAUUCAACUGUCAUUCUGCGCUUUCUGACCUGGUGGUUGAGUCUUUCCUUGGUGUGGUUGAGGUGGCCAGUAAAUGGUUUUGUGAGCCCUGGGAGCAAGGGGUAAACUGGAUCCACCAGAAUCACUAAUGGCAUUUCAGUAGCACCAGUGGUAAUCCACUGGUUGGGAAAGAACGUCCCCGCUUGCAGCUUUCUGAACAGUCUUGUGUUCUUAAAGAUGUGGGUGUCGUGCUUUCAGUAACUAGCGCUCAGUUAUGUAGGGAUAAUCUUUACUUUUUCCAUCUUCAACUCAACGUGGAAAAAGUUAAGAACGCUUGACCAAAUGGCCUUACUAUUCAGCAUUACCUAGCACUAUUUGAGAUUCCCCCCUCAGCUUUGCUAGCUAAAACCCAAUUGCUUUCAGCUGUUCCUGAGUUAAUCUCUGACCUUAAUAAUGGAAACUUUUUCCUGCUGUAUUUAGUAAACAUCGUCAGUGUUGACCUGAAGAUGGGAGUAAAUAGAACAGUAUUAUUAUAUUCCCUUUUACUUAUUUGGAGAAGUGUAUAAAGAAAUACAAAGAUCUAGAAAGGAUAAAAGCAUGGAUAGAAAUAGCCAAAGAGGCUUAUGACUUCUGUCAAAAUAUUCUCUUCUGAAAUGAUAUGGAAGCUAUGUUGCUACACCUCAUAAUUGUGUGCUCACCAUGCUCAUAACACUUGCAGCUCUAUAUAAUUAAAUCUCAUACUUCAGGACUUCAGCUGGUUGCCUCCAGUGGUCAGGCAGGAAUUAUUUCCCCUGAUGCACAGCUGGCUAGAUGGGCUACAGCUAGAACUGGGACACCAUUCAGGGUGGACCAGUAGUCUAAGGUAGCACAAAAGAUUCUCUUUCUAGAUGCCUGGCUGUGUGUCUUGCUCACAUGCUUAGGGUCAGACUUACUGCCCUAUUUGGAGUUGGGAAGGAAUUUUCCCAUGGGUCAGAGUGGCAGGGACUUUCUUUUUUUCCUGUGUUCCCCAGAAGCAAGUGGUGUGGUUUGCCUGCUGGGAUCAUCUGAGUAUAUCUUACCUAAUUAAUUCCCUGCCGUUGCAAUAAUUUUUUUAAAAAAAGGUAAUUGGGAUGACUUGGUAAUCAGCUUGACAUUGAUCCUGGGCAAGAUAAUGGAGUGACUAAUAUGGGACUCAGUUAAUAAAGUAUUAAAGGAGGUUAAUGUAAUUAAUUACAUCAAUAUGGGUAUAUGGAAAAUAGAUCCUGUCAAACAUAUCUUUUUUUUUUUAUGAGAUGAAAAGUUUGGUUGAUAAAGGUAAUAGUGUUGAAGUAAUAUAUUGAGACUUCUGUAUGUGUUUUGACUUAGUACCACAUGACAUUUGGAUUAAAAAACUAAAAUGAUAUAAAAUGAACAUGGCACACAUUAAACGGGUUUAAAACUGGCUAA